AAAAAAGACAAAAAAAUGAAAAAUGAAAAGAGGCAAAAAGAGGCGGGUACUUCUGAGGCGGAGGACAUACUAAAGCGCGAGGCCCGGCGCGUGCGCUGCACUCUCUAACGCAUCGGCGGAUCCGGGCGGCUGGGUGAGCUGAAGUCAUGGCGAGCACCUUACAGCAGCUUCCGACGGAUGAUUCCGUCCUCCUGCGCGUCACCCAUGCCAACCUCAAGUCCUUCUCCGCCGACGUCCGCUUCUCACUUCAGGCGAGCGUGGAGUCCGUGAAGGAGAAGCUCUGGAAGAAAUGCGGCACUUCCGUCGAGUCCAUGCGGCUCGAGCUCUACGACGAUUCCGGCUCCAAGGUUUCCGAUCUGAAUGAGGAUUUUAGACCGUUCGGCUUCUAUUCUCCCCUGGACGGGUUCCGAUUGCAUAUCAUAGAUCUAGACCCCUCGUCAGUGACCUCCGGCGGGUGGCUUGAAGACACUUCACUGGUCGAAAAGUACAAAAUUUCUGAUGACGCUUACGAUAAGCUUGAUGGAACUUUCAGAAAAUUCAAGGAGAAAAUGGUGUCUCAAAAUCCACCAGCUCUUGAAAGCAAGAUACCGGACAACUACAUGGAGGACCUUUGCGCCAAUAUAAAGGUAGGAGAUAGAUGUGAAGUUGAGCCUGGGGCAAAGAGAGGUGUCGUCAAAUUUGUGGGUCAAGCAGAAUCUCUUGCACCUGGUUUUUGGGUUGGGGUGCAGUAUGAUGAACCUUUGGGAAAGCACGAUGGAAUGUAAUGUGCACACUGAAUUCUCAUUCUGGGUGAAAGGAACUCGUUACUUUGAAUGCCCUCCGCUUCAUGGUGCAAUGGUGAGGCCAGACAAAGUUAAGGUCGGCGACUAUCCUGAACAUGACAUCUUUGAGGAAGAUGAGAUAUGAGAAGGCAGUUCCGAAGCACUUCUGUUACUUUUCAACAGCUCCGAUCCGGCUUUUUUUUGUUUGUGAUUACAUUAGUAUGUUACCGAAGAGACGUGAACUUAUUCUGAAGUCAAACUAGCGUGGACCAUUUGUUGUCUCUCCUUGAGCAAAAAGUUUAACACGGGACAACUUGUUAGGUUCAUGAUCGUUAAUUAGUUCAUAUAAGUGCUGUUCAUCUUUUCAGCUAA